rnacentral:lncRNA from 1 species
AUCUCUCUUUUAACUGUUUCCUUGCUGAAUUUGUGUUCUCUUGCCAAGGAGAUGAUGAAUUAUUGGAAGAAAACCCAGAGAAGUCCCAAGUCAAAUCUCAAGAGGAAAACGGGGAUGAGAGAGACAAACCUGGAGAGAAAGGCCAUGGUCAAGCAAACAAGCCUCAUAACCAGAGUCUCCAGGGAGGCCCGAAAGAACCAUUUGGCAGUGGUGUCCCCAACGGCCCACAUGGCUCACAUGGCCCCAGGGGCCCAUAUCACCCCGGUGGUCUCCAAUGGGCCAGGUGGCCAACAAGGACCAGGUGGCUAGCAAAGACCAGAUAGCCAACAAGGACCAGGUGGCCAAGGUCAUCCAGGUGGCCAACAAGGCCAACAAGCUGCCGAGAAAGGACCAGGUGCCCAGGGAGACCAGCAGGGAAGAGAUGACCAGCACGGUCAGCCCGGUGGCCAGUGACAAAGUAACCUUACUAAGGAGGUCCUCCGGUGAUUCUCUAGAAAUGGAUAGACAUCAACUGGUGACCAUGGACUGUUCAGUGGUGGAAACAUAGCCUUUCC